rnacentral:rRNA from 1 species
CCUACGGGAGGCAGCAGUGAGGAAUAUUGGUCAAUGGCCGUGAGGCUGAACCAGCCAAGUCGCGUGCGGGAUGACGGCCCUAUGGGUUGUAAACUUCUUUUGUCCGGGAAUAAAGUGCGUCACGUGUGAUGUUUUGUGAGUACCCGAUGAAAAAGCACCGGCUAACUCCGUGCCAGCAGCCGCGGUAAUACGGAGGAUGCGAGCGUUAUCCGGAUUUAUUGGGUUUAAGGGGAGCGUAGGCCGAGGUGCAGGCCAGCGGUCAAAUUGCGGGACUCAACCCUGUACUGCCGUGGGAACUGGAUCCCUUGAGUGCGCGGAAAGUAUGCGGAAUGCGUGGUGUAGCGGUGAAAUGCAUAGAUAUCACGAAGAACUCCGAUUGCGAAGGCAGCAUACGGGAGCGCAACUGACGCUGAUGCACGAAGGCGUGGGUAUCGAACAGGAUUAGAUACCCGAGUAGUC